GACGAACGCUGGCGGCGUGCUUAACACAUGCAAGUCGAACGGAAAGGCCCCUUUGGGGGUACUCGAGUGGCGAACGGGUGAGUAACACGUGAGUAACCUGCCCUUGACUUCGGGAUAACUUCAGGAAACUGGGGCUAAUACCGGAUAGGAAUCCUUGCUGCAUGGUGGGGGUUGGAAAGCUUCGGCGGUUUUGGAUGGACUCGCGGCUUAUCAGCUUGUUGGUGGGGUAGUGGCUUACCAAGGCUUUGACGGGUAGCCGGCCUGAGAGGGCGACCGGCCACAUUGGGACUGAGAUACGGCCCAGACGCCUACGGGAGGCAGCGGUGGGGAAUAUUGCACAAUGGGCGGAAGCCUGAUGCAGCAACGCCGCGUGCGGGAUGACGGCCUUCGGGUUGGAAACCGCUUUCAGCAGGGGCGAAGCUUGUGGUGACGGUACCUGCAGAAGAAGCACCGGCUAACUACGUG
rnacentral:rRNA from 1 species